rnacentral:rRNA from 1 species
UACGGAGGGUGCAAGCGUUAUCCGGAAUCACUGGGUUAAGGGUAGCGUAGGCGGCUAUGUAAGUCAGUUGUGAAAUACCCGGCUUAACCGGCGGACGUGCGAUUGAUACUGCGUAGCUUGAAUCAGGUUGAGGUAGGCGGAAUGUGACAUGUAGCGGUGAAAUGCUUAGAUAUGUCAUAGAACACCGAUUGCGAAGGCAGCUUACUGGGCUUGAUUGACGCUGAGGCACGAAAGCGUGGGGAGCAAACAGG